rnacentral:rRNA from 1 species
UACGGAGGAUGCGAGCGUUAUCCGGAUUUAUUGGGUUUAAAGGGUGCGUAGGCGGUCCGUUAAGUCAGCGGUAAAAUUGCGGGGCUCAACCCCGUCGAGCCGUUGAAACUGUCAGACUUGAGUUGGCGAGAAGUACGCGGAAUGCGCGGUGUAGCGGUGAAAUGCAUAGAUAUCGCGCAGAACCCCGAUUGCGAAGGCAGCAUGCCGGCUUCCUACUGACGCUGAAGCACGAAAGCGUGGGGAUCGAACAGG